GAUGAACGCUGGCGGCGUGCCUAAUACAUGCAAGUCGAGCGAGCGGCGGACGGGUGAGUAAUGUCUGGGACACUGCCUGCUGGAUGGGGAUAACUACUGGAAACGGUAGCUACUACCGCAUACCAUCAGAUGUGCCCAGAUGGGAUUAGCUAGUAGGUGGGGUAAUGGCUCACCUAGGCGACGAUCCCUAGCUGGUCUGAGAGGAUGACCAGCCACACUGGAACGGAGACACGGUCCAGACUCCUACGGGAGGCAGCAGUGGGGAAUAUUGCACAAGGGGCGCAAGCCUGAUGCAGCCAUGCCGCGUGUGUGAAGAAGGCCUGCGGGUUGUAAAGCACUUUCAGCGAGGAGGCGUUACUCGCAGAAGAAGCACCGGCUAACUCCGUGCCAGCAGCCGCGGUAAUAC
rnacentral:rRNA from 1 species